rnacentral:rRNA from 1 species
GAUGAACGCUGGCGGCGUGCUUUAACACAUGCAAGUCGAGCGAAGCGCUUUACUUAGAUUUCUUCGGAUUGAAGAGUUUUGCGACUGAGCGGCGGACGGGUGAGUAACGCGUGGGUAACCUGCCUCAUACAGGGGAUAACAGUUAGAAAUGACUGCUAAUACCGCAUAAGACCACGGUACCGCAUGGUACAGUGGGAAAAAACUCCGGUGGUAUGAGAUGGACCCGCGUCUGAUUAGCUAGUUGGUAAGGUAACGGCUUACCAAGGCGACGAUCAGUAGCCGACCUGAGAGGGUGACCGGCCACAUUGGGACUGAGACACGGCCCAAACUCCUACGGGAGGC